AUUGAACGCUGGCGGCAUGCCUUACACAUGCAAGUCGAACGGCAGCACGGGAGCAAUCCUGGUGGCGAGUGGCGAACGGGUGAGUAAUAUAUCGGAACGUGCCCAGUCGUGGGGGAUAACGCAGCGAAAGCUGUGCUAAUACCGCAUACGAUCUACGGAUGAAAGCGGGGGACUCGCAAGGGCCUCGCGCGAUUGGAGCGGCCGAUAUCAGAUUAGCUAGUUGGUGAGGUAAAGGCUCACCAAGGCGAUGAUCUGUAGCUGGUCUGAGAGGACGACAAGCCACACUGGAAGUGAGACACGGGCCAGACUGCUACGGGAGGCAGCAGUGGGGAAUGUUGGACAAUGGGCGCAAGCCUGAUCCAGCAAUGCCGCGUGCAGGAUGAAGGCCUUCGGGUUGUAAACUGCUUUUGUACGGAGCGAAACGGUCUCUUCUAAUACAGGGGGCUAAUGACGGUACCGUAAGAAUAAGCACCGGCUAACUACGUGCCAGCAGCCGCAGUAA
rnacentral:rRNA from 1 species